rnacentral:rRNA from 1 species
UUGGGAAUCUUGGACAAUGGGGGAAACCCUGAUCCAGCCAUGCCGCGUGAGUGAUGAAGGCCUUCGGGUUGUAAAGCCCUGUGGGGAGGGACGAAUAAGUUGCGGUUAAUACCCGCAGCGAUGACGGUACCUCCUUAGCAAGCACCGGCUAACUCUGUGCCAGCAGCCGCGGUAAGACAGAGGGUGCAAACGUUGUUCGGAAUUACUGGGCGUAAAGCGCGUGUAGGCGGCUAUGCAAGUCGGAUGUGAAAGCCCUCGGCUCAACCGGGGAAGUGCACCCGAAACUGCAAAGCUAGAGUCUCGGAGAGGAUCGUGGAAUUCUCGGUGUAGAGGUGAAAUUCGUAGAUAUCAAGAGGAACACCGGUGGCGAAGGCGGCGAUCUGGACGAUGACUGACGCUGAGACGCGAAAGCGUGGGGAGCAAAC